CCAACGUGGAUACCCUCAGAGGUCACUCUUUCUAGGCUCUGUAGGUGGCGUAGGGGAACAUAAGGCUCUGCCCAAUGAUGUACAGUCUCUUCCCACAUCGUUGGAGGGAAAGUUGGGCCUUGAAUCUGUGCCUACAUAUUUCUACAGCUACUCGGAGUCCUGUGGACAAUGACUGAGAAGAAAAAUCAUGCAAGAAACAUCU